rnacentral:rRNA from 1 species
AGAGUUUGAUCCUGGCUCAGGACGAACGCUGGCGGCGUGCCUAAUACAUGCAAGUAGAACGCUGAAGGAGGAGCUUGCUUCUCUGGAUGAGUUGCGAACGGGUGAGUAACGCGUAGGUAACCUGCCUGGUAGCGGGGGAUAACUAUUGGAAACGAUAGCUAAUACCGCAUAAGAGUGGAUGUUGCAUGACAUUUGCUUAAAAGGUGCACUUGCAUCACUACCAGAUGGACCUGCGUUGUAUUAGCUAGUUGGUGGGGUAACGGCUCACCAAGGCGACGAUACAUAGCCGACCUGAGAGGGUGAUCGGCCACACUGGGACUGAGACACGGCCCAGACUCCUACGGGAGGCAGCAGUAGGGAAUCUUCGGCAAUGGACGGAAGUCUGACCGAGCAACGCCGCGUGAGUGAAGAAGGUUUUCGGAUCGUAAAGCUCUGUUGUAAGAGAAGAAUGAGUGUGAGAGUGGAAAGUUCACACUGUGACGGUAUCUUACCAGAAAGGGACGGCUAACUACGUGCCAGCAGCCGCGGUAAUACGUAGGUCCCGAGCGUUGUCCGGAUUUAUUGGGCGUAAAGCGAGCGCAGGCGGUUAGAUAAGUCUGAAGUUAAAGGCUGUGGCUUAACCAUAGUAGGCUUUGGAAACUGUUUAACUUGAGUGCAAGAGGGGAGAGUGGAAUUCCAUGUGUAGCGGUGAAAUGCGUAGAUAUAUGGAGGAACACCGGUGGCGAAAGCGGCUCUCUGGCUUGUAACUGACGCUGAGGCUCGAAAGCGUGGGGGGCAAACAGGAUUAGAUACCCUGGUAGUCCACGCUGUAAACGAUGAGUGCUAGGUGUUAGACCCUUUCCGGGGUUUAGUGCCGUAGCUAACGCAUUAAGCACUCCGCCUGGGGAGUACGACCGCAAGGUUGAAACUCAAAGGAAUUGACGGGGGCCCGCACAAGCGGUGGAGCAUGUGGUUUAAUUCGAAGCAACGCGAAGAACCUUACCAGGUCUUGACAUCCCUCUGACCGCUCUAGAGAUAGAGCUUUCCUUCGGGACAGAGGUGACAGGUGGUGCAUGGUUGUCGUCAGCUCGUGUCGUGAGAUGUUGGGUUAAGUCCCGCAACGAGCGCAACCCCUAUUGUUAGUUGCCAUCAUUUAGUUGGGCACUCUAGCGAGACUGCCGGUAAUAAACCGGAGGAAGGUGGGGAUGACGUCAAAUCAUCAUGCCCCUUAUGACCUGGGCUACACACGUGCUACAAUGGCUGGUACAACGAGUCGCAAGCCGGUGACGGCAAGCUAAUCUCUUAAAGCCAGUCUCAGUUCGGAUUGUAGGCUGCAACUCGCCUACAUGAAGUCGGAAUCGCUAGUAAUCGCGGAUCAGCACGCCGCGGUGAAUACGUUCCCGGGCCUUGUACACACCGCCCGUCACACCACGAGAGUUUGUAACACCCGAAGUCGGUGAGGUAACCGUAAGGAGCCAGCCGCCUAAGGUGGGAUAGAUGAUUGGGGUGAAGUCGUAACAAGGUAGCCGUAUCGGAAGGUGCGGCUGGAUCACCU